ACACGGCCCAGACUCCUACGGGAGGCAGCAGUGGGGAAUAUUGGACAAUGGGCGCAAGCCUGAUCCAGCAAUGCCGCGUGGGUGAAGAAGGUUUUCGGAUUGUAAAGCCCUUUCGGCGGGGACGAUGAUGACGGUACCCGCAGAAGAAGCCCCGGCUAACUUCGUGCCAGCAGCCGCGGUAAUACGAAGGGGGCUAGCGUUGCUCGGAAUGACUGGGCGUAAAGGGCGCGUAGGCGGUUUGGACAGUCAGGCGUGAAAUUCCUGGGCUUAACCUGGGGGCUGCGCUUGAUACAUCUGGACUUGAGUGGGGAAGAGGGUCGUGGAAUUCCCAGUGUAGAGGUGAAAUUCGUAGAUAUUGGGAAGAACACCGGUGGCGAAGGCGGCGACCUGGUCCUUGACUGACGCUGAGGCGCGAAAGCGUGGGGAGCAAACAGGAUUAGAUACCCUGGUAGUCCACGCCGUAAACGAUGUGUGCUGGAUGUUUGGGUGGCCUAGCCACCCAGUGUCGUAGCUAACGCGGUAAGCACACCG
rnacentral:rRNA from 1 species